AUUGAACGCUGGCGGCAGGCCUAACACAUGCAAGUCGAGCGGAUGAAGGGAGCUUGCUCCUGGAUUCAGCGGCGGACGGGUGAGUAAUGCCUAGGAAUCUGCCUGGUAGUGGGGGAUAACGUCCGGAAACGGGCGCUAAUACCGCAUACGUCCUGAGGGAGAAAGUGGGGGAUCUUCGGACCUCACGCUAUCAGAUGAGCCUAGGUCGGAUUAGCUAGUUGGUGGGGUAAAGGCCUACCAAGGCGACGAUCCGUAACUGGUCUGAGAGGAUGAUCAGUCACACUGGAACUGAGACACGGUCCAGACUCCUACGGGAGGCAGCAGUGGGGAAUAUGGGACAAUGGGCGAAAGCCUGAUCCAGCCAUGCCGCGUGUGUGAAGAAGGUCUUCGGAUUGUAAAGCACUUUAAGUUGGGAGGAAGGGCAGUAAGUUAAUACCUUGCUGUUUGGACGUUACCAACAGAAUAAGCACCGGCGAACUUCGU
rnacentral:rRNA from 1 species